rnacentral:rRNA from 1 species
GUAAUGUCUGGGAAACUGCCUGAUGGAGGGGGAUAACUACUGGAAACGGUGGCUAAUACCGCAUAACGUCGCAAGACCAAAGAGGGGGACCUUCGGGCCUCUUGCCAUCAGAUGUGCCCAGAUGGGAUUAGCUAGUUGGUGAGGUAACGGCUCACCAAGGCGACGAUCCCUAGCUGGUCUGAGAGGAUGACCAGCCACACUGGAACUGAGACACGGUCCAGACUCCUACGGGAGGCAGCAGUGGGGAAUAUUGCACAAUGGGCGCAAGCCUGAUGCAGCCAUGCCGCGUGUAUGAAGAAGGCCUUCGGGUUGUAAAGUACUUUCAGCGGGGAGGAAGGUGUUGUGGUUAAUAACCACAGCAAUUGACGUUACCCGCAGAAGAAGCACCGGCUAACUCCGUGCCAGCAGCCGCGGUAAUACGGAGGGUGCAAGCGUUAAUCGGAAUUACUGGGCGUAAAGCGCACGCAGGCGGUCUGUCAAGUCGGAUGUGAAAUCCCCGGGCUCAACCUGGGAACUGCAUUCGAAACUGGCAGGCUUGAGUCUUGUAGAGGGGGGUAGAAUUCCAGGUGUAGCGGUGAAAUGCGUAGAGAUCUGGAGGAAUACCGGUGGCGAAGGCGGCCCCCUGGACAAAGACUGACGCUCAGGUGCGAAAGCGUGGGGAGCAAACAGGAUUAGAUACCCUGGUAGUCCACGCCGUAAACGAUGUCUACUUGGAGGUUGUGCCCUUGAGGCGUGGCUUCCGGAGCUAACGCGUUAAGUAGACCGCCUGGGGAGUACGGCCGCAAGGUUAAAACUCAAAUGAAUUGACGGGGGCCCGCACAAGCGGUGGAGCAUGUGGUUUAAUUCGAUGCAACGCGAAGAACCUUACCUGGUCUUGACAUCCACAGAACUUUCCAGAGAUGGAUUGGUGCCUUCGGGAACUGUGAGACAGGUGCUGCAUGGCUGUCGUCAGCUCGUGUUGUGAAAUGUUGGGUUAAGUCCCGCAACGAGCGCAAC